UGGAAGAACCGCGCCGCCAUUUUAUGCGUGCGUGUGAGGCGAAGGCGAGGGGCUGAGGUAAACCCCGGCGGCGAGGGGUAGAACAGCCCAGCCCGGGUUUAGAGCGCCUCAGCAUCGCCUCCUUGUCAGCCGCGGCUUCGUUUUGUUUCGCUCUCCUGUCUGUUGGGUUGUUUUUAUUUUCAGUUCCAUUUGCGGAGCGAUGUUGGCAGCAGCCAUUUGAAGGAAAGCUGCGAGGAAGACAGCUGUUGCACAACGAAGUUCUUGGGCACACCAUCUGGUGGUGAGAGAUGGAGUAUGAUAAACGCUCAAGCCGCAGUGAGCGGAUGGGACGCUAUGGGAGUGACCGGUGCAAGGACGACCUGCGAGAAUCCCGUGAUAGGCGGGAUCAUGACUACAGGGACAUGGAUUACCGGUCCUACGACCCGGACUAUGAGUGCGACACUGGCAAGGACUACGGCCAGCAGGAUAGCUGGGGCUAUGACCACUCUGAGGAUUACAGAGAGGACGGCGAUGGUUACAGAAACUACGACAACCCAGAAGACGCCUUCAGCUUCCCAGGGGACGGGGAUUACAGAGACCAGGACUAUCGGAAUGAGACCGGAGAGGAGAAGGCCAGCAGGAUCAUCAUGCUGCGGAUGCUACCCCCCUCUGCCACCGAGAACGACAUCCGAAUGCAGCUGCAGUAUGCCGGUUACCAGCCUCGGGAGGUGCGCCUAAUGAGGAAUAAAUCCUCAGGUCAGAGCCGUGGUUUCGCCUUCGUGGAGUUUAAUCACUUGCAGGACGCUACCCGAUGGAUGGAAGCCAAUCAGCACUCCCUCGUUAUUCAUGGCCAGCAGAUCUCCAUGUACUACAGCGACCCCAAGCCCAAGGCUAAUGAGGACUGGCUCUGUAACAAGUGUGGAGUGCAGAAUUUUAAACGGCGUGAGAAAUGCUUUAAGUGUGGUGUCCCCAAGUCGGAAGGGGAGAUGCGGCUAGUGCCCGGCAGAAAGGACCUGCAGCAGCCCCUCCCGGAUGGACCCACACCCCUGCUGAAGCUACCCCAGCCAUUCCAGCCGCCGCAGCUCAACCAGCAACACCCGCAGCACAGCCAGAACCAGCAGGCAAACGAGAACGCUAAUGACACCGUGAUCCUACGUAAUCUGAACUACCACACCACCCAAGAAACAAUCCUCAAUACCUUGGCUCCCUAUGCUGUGCUGUCGCCCUCCAACAUCCGCCUGAUCAGAGACAAGCAGAGCCAUCUAAACCGGGGCUUCGCCUUUAUUCAGCUCUCGACGAUUGUGGAAGCCUCCCAACUGCUCCAGAUCCUGCAGUCGCUGGAACCCCCUCUCGUCAUUGAUGGCAAGACCAUCAACGUGGAGUUUGCAAAGGGCACAAAGAAGGACGUGGUCCUGACGGAUGGUAGCCGGGCCAGUGCCGCUUCAGUGGCCAGCACAGCGAUCGCUGCCGCUCAGUGGGCAGUCACCCAGAGUUCCGAUUCUGAUAACCAGGGUGCGUGGCUAAACCAAGACAACCAGCGAGACUACUCGUACUACCGGGGAAGCCAGGACGACAGUUACCUGCGGCAGUACGCCCAGCGGUACGGCGGCCACUAUUCCCAGGAUUACCAGCAGGACUCAGACCAGCAGAAAUCCAGCAAGCGUCCUGUGCUGCCAACAACAUACGAGGCACCACCUACUGUUGCAGUGUCGGAAGCCGCCUCGGAGCCUGGCAUUCCAGGCGUCGAUCCUCUCCCGAGCCCGCAGUCAGGGCAGGCAGAAGCUGCUCCACAGCUCUAUCAGAAGUCAUCCAGUACCUCGUCAGACAGCACCCGCACCACACAGACCUCCCGCACCCCCGGAAGCCAGAAGGCGGAGAAUGUCCCAGGUCUGCCCCUGCCCCAGGUCAGUGCCAGUCAUGCCUCGGGAGCCAACAGCAGCGGCCACUCUCUGACCAGCUCCUCUACUGCGACUCAGGACUACACCCAAUACCCCGUGCCUGAUGUCUCUACUUACCAGUAUGACGAGAUCUCGGGAUAUUAUUACGACCCCCAGACCGGACUCUACUAUGACCCCAACUCACAGUACUAUUAUAACGCACAGACACAGCAGUACCUGUACUGGGACGGGGACAAGCAGACCUACCUACCGGCCCCUGACCAGAGCGCUGAUUCCAAAGACGGGUCCGGCCUGAAGGAAGGCAAGGAGAAGAAGGAGAAGCCCAAGAGCAAGACAGCUCAGCAGAUCGCCAAAGACAUGGAGCGCUGGGCCAAGAGCCUGAACAAGCAGAAGGAGAACUUCAAGAACAGCUUCCAGCCACUGAGCUACAUGCGAGAGAACGAGCGCCGGGAGUCGGCCUCUGCCGACGCAGGCUACGCCAUGCUGGAGAAGAAGAGCACCCUGGCUGAGCGUCAACAUGUCAUGAUGGAACACCUGAAACGCACCAGCGACAAGAUGAGGGACGAUGACACUCGGACGAAGUCGAGCCCACUGCGGGGGCUGGUGGCAGCCUACAGUGGCGAGAGCGACAGCGAGGAGGAGCCAGAGGAGGAGCAGGAGGAGAGGCUGACCGACUGGCAGAAGCUGGCCUGUCUGCUGUGCCGCAGGCAAUUCCCCAGCAAAGAGGCUCUCAUCCGUCACCAGCAGCUCUCCGAGCUCCACAAGCAAAACCUUGAGAUACACAGGCGCUCGAAGCUGUCAGAGGCCGAGCUGGAAGCCCUGGAGAAGAGUGAGAGAGAGCUGAGGUACAGAGCAGCAGAGAGACGGGGCAAGCUGCCCAUGGCUGAUGUAUCAGAGCCCAAGAGGAAAAGGACGCAAGCAACGUUCGAUGGAAUAAGCCAGGACAUUGGAAACCGUGUGAUGGGCUGGAAGGCCGGCAGCAGACUGGGGAGCAAAGACUCGGGCCUGUCCUCCCAGUAGCCCUGAGGCUUCGUGGGAACCUCGUCGUCCGUGUCGUUUCCUGGAGAGUGUGGUGAGCGAUGCCCAAGACUCCCACCCACCCCACCGGUGAAAGGCACAACACCUCUGCUCCCUGGGAGUCCACAGCACUGGCCGUUCAUCCUGACCAGCUCAGAGAAAGACUGUCCCCCUGAGAAGAUGCCCUGGCCGAUAAAGGUCAAGGUGAAGGAGGUUUGAUGGAGACCUGAGGGUCCUGAUGAAGGGUCUCGGCCCGAAACGCCGCUCAGACUUCUGAUGGCUAUUUCUGUUCCUUACCGUAUCUACAUGUUUCUACAGCUCUGAGGUCAUGUUGACUGGCUGGCAAGUUACCCUCGUACACUUACUGAACAGGGGGUACCACAUUUGCAGUUUCCUCUGCUCCAUCCCCUCUCGACCUGACAAGGACUGUAAGAUUUCUGCCUACCUCGCCCCGCUUCCCUCAGUGAUCCUGGAUGCGUUCCAUCCAGUGGUUUGGUUACGUUUACGACUCCGUUUCUGGUGCCCUGUUUCACAAAGUGAAAGUCACAAUGUACGAGGGGUGAUUGAUAAGUUCGUGGCCUGGGGUAGGAGUCAAUUUUAUAAAACCUAGCACAUUUAUUUUUUGACAUAGUCCCCUCCUACAUGUACGCACUUAGUCCAGCGGUCGUGGAGCAUACGGUUCCCUUCUUUGUAGAAGUGGUCCACAGCAGGGCCUAGGGUAGAAACAUAGAAAAUAGGUGCAGGAGUAGGCCAUUCGGCCCUUCGAGCCUGCACCACCAUUCAGUAUGAUCAUGGCUGAUCAUCCAACUCUGAACCCUGUACCUGCCUUCCCUCCAUAUCCCCUGAUCCCUUUAGCCACAAGGGCCAUAUCUAACUCCCUCUUAAAUAUGGCCAAUGAACUGGCCUCAACUGUUUCCUGUGGCAGAGAAUUCCACAGAUUCACCAUUCCUGUGUGAAGAAGUUUUUCCUCAUCUCGGUCCUAAAAGGCUUCCCCUUUAUCCUCAAACUGUGACCCCUCGUUCUGGGCUUCCCCAACAUCGGGAACAAUCUUCCUGCAUUGAGGCUGUCCGAUCCCUUUAGAAUUUUAUACGUUUCAAUCAGAUCCCCCCUCAAUCUUCUAAAUUCCAACGAGUAUAAGCCUAGUCGAUCCAGUCUUUCAUCAUAUGAAAGCGUUUUGGAUCUCCAGGUGGUCCACCGCAGGGGUGAUUGUUAAGUUCAUACCCAAGGUAGAAGGGUAUGAGUUAUACAGCUCUCGUUACACGCACGUGCAAUUCAACUCUUUGAGUGAUAAUGCAGAAAGUUUGAAGUUAAUAACUCAUCUCCUUCUACUUUAGGCCACAAACUUAUCAAUCACCCCUGCUGUGGACCACUUCUGGAGGUCCAAGACACCAAC